GUUUCUACGGUGUAGUUUAGCACAUUAGAUUUUCAUUCUAAAGGUGUAAAGUAAAUUUACUAGAAAUA
rnacentral:tRNA from 1 species